rnacentral:rRNA from 1 species
GGAAUUUUGGACAAUGGGCGAAAGCCUGAUCUAGCCAUGCCGCGUGAGUGACGAAGGCCCUAGGGUCGUACAGCUCUUUCGCCAGGGAUGAUAAUGACAGUACCUGGUAAAGAAACCCCGGCUAACUCCGUUCCAGCAGCCGCGGUAAUACGGAGGGGGUUAGCGUUGUUCGGAAUUACUGGGCGUAAAGCGCGCGUAGGCGGAUUGGAAAGUUGGGGGUGAAAUCCCGGGGCUCAACCCCGGAACUGCCUCCAAAACUAUCAGUCUAGAGUUCGAGAGAGGCGAGUGGAAUUCCGAGUGUAGAGGUGAAAUUCGUAGAUAUUCGGAGGAACACCAGUGGCGAAGGCGGCUCACUGGCUCGAUACUGACGCUGAGGUGCGAAAGUGUGGGGAGCA